rnacentral:rRNA from 1 species
UACGGAAGGCAGCAGGGGGGAAUAUUGCACAAUGGGCGAAAGCCUGAUGCAGCUAUGCCGCGUGUAUGAAGAAGGCCUUAGGGUUGUAAAGUACUUUCAUCGGGGAGGAAAAAACAAAACUAAUAAUUUUAUUUCUUGACGUUACCCGAAAAAGAAGCACCGGCUAACUCCGUGCCAGCAGCCGCGGUAAUACGGAGGGUGCUAGCGUUAAUCAGAAUUACUGGGCGUAAAGAGCACGUAGGUGGUUUUUUUAAAGUCAGAUGUGAAAUCCCUGGGCUUAACCUGGAACUGCAUUUUGAAACUGAAAUACUAGAGUAUCGUAGAGGGAGGUAGAAUUCUAGGUGUAGCGGUGAAAUGCGUAGAUAUCUGGAGGAAUACCUGUGGCGAAAGCGGCCUCCUAAACGAAUACUGACACUGAGGGUGCGAAAGCGUGGGGAGCGAAACAGGGAUUUAGAUACC